rnacentral:rRNA from 1 species
GUGUCAGCAGCCGCGGUAAUACAGAGGGGGCAAGCGUUAUUCGGAAUUAUUGGGCGUAAAGGGCGCGUAGGCGGCUUGGCAAGUGGAUGGUGAAAUCCCUCGGCUUAACCGAGGAACUGCCAUCCAGACUGCUUUGCUUGAGGCCGGGAGAGGGUAGUGGAAUUCCCAGUGUAGCGGUGAAAUGCGUAGAUAUUGGGAGGAACACCUGUGGCGAAAGCGGCGCACUGGACCACAUCUGACGCUGAGGCGCGAAAGCUAGGGGAGCAAACAGGAUUAGAUACCCUGGUAGUCCACGCCUUAAACGAUGAGGACUAGACGUUGGAGGGGUUAGCCCUUCAGUGUCGCAGCUAACGCGAUAAGUCCUCCGCCUGGGGAGUACGGCCGCAAGGUUGAA